UGAAGGAGCAGCUAGAUGAAUCACACCACAGGGUGCACAUCCUGGAGGAGCAGAACAGCUUCCUUGGCCACAUGAUUUUGAAGGUAUUGAAGCACAACCUUUGUACCCAACCUGCAAAAUGCUAGUAUAAGAUUCUUAGAUAAGGAGGGCUCCAGGCGCUCAAACAAUUUCAACUACAAGCAGAUAUUUUGCCUAAAUUCAAGACGAAAGAAGAUGUUCAAAGACGCACCAAGACAUUUUUGUAUAGCAAGUUAUGUAAUAAUAGUUGGGUUAUAUGGG